rnacentral:rRNA from 1 species
AGGCGAUGAAGGGCGUGCUAAUCUGCGAUAAGCGCCGGUAAGGUGAUAUGAACCGUUAUAACCGGCGAUACCCGAAUGGGGAAACCCAGUGUGAUUCGUCACACUAUCAUUAACUGAAUCCAUAGGUUAAUGAGGCGAACCGGGGGAACUGAAACAUCUAAGUACCCCGAGGAAAAGAAAUCAACCGAGAUUCCCCCAGUAGCGGCGAGCGAACGGGGAGGAGCCCAGAGCCUGAAUCAGCAUAUGUGUUAGUGGAAGCGUCUGGAAAGGCGCGCGAUACAGGGUGACAGCCCCGUACACAAAAGCGCAUGUGCUGUGAGCUCGAUGAGUAGGGCGGGACACGUGGUAUCCUGUCUGAAUAUGGGGGGACCAUCCUCCAAGGCUAAAUACUCCUGACUGACCGAUAGUGAACCAGUACCGUGAGGGAAAGGCGAAAAGAACCCCGGCGAGGGGAGUGAAAAAGAACCUGAAACCGUGUACGUACAAGCAGUGGGAGCACCCUUUGGGGUGUGACUGCGUACCUUUUGUAUAAUGGGUCAGCGACUUAUAUUCUGUAGCAAGGUUAACCGUAUAGGGGAGCCGGAGGGAAACCGAGUCUUAACCGGGCGUUAAGUUGCAGGGUAUAGACCCGAAACCCGGUGAUCUAGCCAUGGGCAGGUUGAAGGUUGGGUAACACUAACUGGAGGACCGAACCGA